AUGCUUACAGCAUCCCCUCUCAACUGGGUCAGUUUGCCCUGGCUACCAGAGGCCUCCACAUUAAUUGGACGCUCGUUUGCAGCAUUGAGGGUGAUAAUCCUAACGAGAUUUAACAAACCCAAAUCCGGGGCGCUUGUACUCACUACAAUAACUGUAAUAGUUAUUGUGAUAAGCCAUUCGGGGAUUUGCCCGGCACACCCCAUGAUGGAUGGGGCUGGUGACCACGGAAACCCACUUCAACCCGCCCUGGUACUCAAACCCUCCAAUCACGUGUCGCCCCCCCCCCCCCCCCCCAUUUCCCUCCUACAGGCGCCAACCAUGACAUUUACAGACGAGACCACCAGCUUGAAGACGGUGCUCCUGCUGUUCUUCUGCCUCCUCUUCCUCGUCUUGCUCCUCCUCUUCCUCUACAAGAAGCUCAACAAGCAGACGGACGGCGAGUACACCGUCAGCAACAUGGUGCUGGGGGAGGGGGGUCUGCGGGACCGCGGGAGGGAGCUCCUGGACCGCGGGAGGGAGCUCCUGCGCGACGCCUGCCUGACCCACCUGGGGGUCCGCCUCUGGGCCGACCGGGACGAGGAGGAGGACUCCGAGUCGGGGGUGGGGCGGGAGGAGUGGGGAGAGGAGGGGGAGGAAGGGGAGGAAGGGGAGGAGCAGGAGGGGGACAGCCGGGGGAGCGCGAGCGACGAGGACGAGGACGAAGAGGAGGAGGAGGAGGAGGAGGAGGAGGAGGAGGGGAGGAAAGGCGAAGACGUGCCGGACGGCCGCGCCAAUGUACCGAACGACAAAAACCCGGCCUGUGAAAACACCCAACUGAUCGUGGUGGUGGAGCAGACGAGGGGAGGGUGGGAUGGGAAGGAGGAGGUGGAGGUGGUGGAGGUGGUGGAGGUGGUGGUGGAGGAGGUGGAGGAGAAGGCCGGGAGCAAUGAGGAAGAGGAGCAGGGGCCCGGCUUGAUGAUAAACCUCAAGCAGUUCUCCGGGGGGGCCAUGUGGUCGGAGGACGAUAAAGAUGACGGCACCAUCAUCGACCUGACAGUGUUGUAA
rnacentral:lncRNA from 1 species